rnacentral:rRNA from 1 species
ACUGCUCAGUAACACGUGGAUAACAUGCCCUAAGGUGGGGGAUAAUCUCGGGAAACUGAGGAUAAUACCCCAUAGAUCUAGGACGCUGGAAUGCCUCUAGGUCGAAAACUCCGGUGCCUUAGGAUUGGUCUCGGUCUAUCAGGCAGUAGUGGGUGUAACGGACCCACUAGCCCGUGACGGAUAUGGGCCUUGAGAGAGGGUGCCCAGAGAUGGACUCUGAGACAUGAGUCCAGGCCCUACGGGGCGCAGCAGUCGCGAAAACUUCGCAAUGGGGGAAACCCCGACGAGGGAAUUCCAAGUGCUAGCACUUUGUGUUAGCUGUUCUUCUGUCUAAAAAACAGGAGAAGUAAGGGGCGGGUAAGACGGGUGCCAGCCGCCGCGGUAAUACCCGCGCCCCGAGUGGUGGUCGAUAUUAUUGAGCCUAAAACGUCCGUAGCCGGUCUUCUAAAUCCUUGGGUAAAUCGGGCAGCUUAACUGUCCGAAUUCCGGGGAGACUGGGAGAUUUGGGACCGGGAGAGGUCAGAGGUACUUCUGGGGUAGGGGUAAAAUCCUGUAAUCCUGGAAGGACCACCGGUGGCGAAGGCGUCUGACUAGAACGGAUCCGACGGUGAGGGACGAAGCCCUGGGGCGCAAACGGGAUUAGAUACCCGGGUAGUCCUAGCCGUAAACGAUGCUCGCUAGGUGUCACAACAAUCGUGAAUUGUUGUGGUGCCGUAGGGAAGCCGUGAAGCGAGCCACUUGGGAAGUACGACCGCAAGGUUGAAACUUAAAGGAAUUGGCGGGGGAGCAC